rnacentral:lncRNA from 1 species
AGAGAGAGGUUACUGACUAGACAGUGUAAUGGGUUAGAGAGAGAGAGGUUACUUACUAGACAGUGUAAUGGGUUAGAGAGAGAGUUUACUUACUAGACAGUGUAAUGGGUUAGAGAGAGAGGUUACUUACUAGACAGUGUAACGGGUUAUAGAGAGAGUGGUUACUUACUAGACAGUGUAAUGGGUUAGAGAGAGAGAGGGGUUACUUACUAGACUAGACAGUGUAAUGGGUUAGAGAGAGAGAGGUUACUUACUAGACAGUGUAAUGGGUUAGAGAGAGAGAGAGAAAGAGAGGUUACUUACUAGACAGUGUAAUGGUUAGAGAGAGAGGUUACUUACUAGACAGUGUAAUGGGUUAGAGAGAGAUGUUACUUACUAGACAGUGUAAUGGGUUAGAGAGAGAGAGGGGUUACUUACUAGACAGUGUAAUGGGGUAGAGAGAGAGAGGUUACUUACUAGACUAGACAGUGUAAUGGGUUAGAGAGAGAGA